rnacentral:lncRNA from 1 species
CUCUAUCCAUAUCCAAAAGAUGGAAGGAAAUAACACAAUAUAUACCCCCCGACAAGAAGUGAAUUAUCGCUCAUCUAAACUCAUCCAAUAGUCACAUAACCUUCACUUCUUUUCCUCAUGGCUGUCCAAAACCCAGAAAAAAAUGCAGGUUAUGAAGCAGAUUCAAACCAAGCCAAGCAGCCAAUUUCCGAUUUGGCUCUCCCCAAGAAACCAAAGAGAAACAAGUAUGCUUUAGCAUGCUCCGUUUUAGCUUCCAUGACAUCGAUCUUACUCGGAUAUGGUAAUAACAAUACUCUUUGUUGCAAGUAUCGUUCUUUAUAAUUUCUUAGUUUACAAAGUGAAUGUUUUUGUUGCAGAUACUGGAGUCAUGAGUGGGGCAAUAUUAUACAUCAAGAAAGACCUCAAAAUCUCUGACGUCCAGAUCGAGAUCCUAGUAGGGACCAUAAAUCUCUACGCCCUUGUCGGAGCCGCCGUGGCCGGACGGACCUCCGACUGGAUUGGCCGUCGUUAUACCAUAGUCUUUGCUGCUGCAAUCUUCUUCGCCGGAGCUUUUUUAAUGGGCUUCGCCACCAACUAUGUAUUUCUUAUGGUUGGCAGGUUUGUGGCCGGGAUCGGAGUUGGGUAUGCUCUGAUGAUAGCUCCGGUAUACACCGCUGAGGUAGCUCCAGCGUCAUCUCGUGGAUUCCUCACUUCUUUCCCUGAAGUCUUCAUCAACGCUGGUACGUUCACAGGCAUUAAAAGAUAUAUUUGAAAAAUCUCAACAAAUUUGAUUUUUGUUAUAGAGACUCAGGGUCUGCUUUUUCCACUGGUUUUGACUGUUUUUGGUUGACCCCGUUUAUGAAAUAUUUAGAAAUAAUUACUUGUUAAUUUGAGUGUUAUUUCUCAAUCCACACAUAGGUGAUUUUCUUUUCAAUUUUAUGCUUCCUAAAAUAAUUGUUUUACAAGACAAAAAUAAAUUAUAUAUAUACAAAAAAAAAAAAAAGGCUAUGAAAAAGGUUAUUCAAAAAAUUACUUUACAACUAAUAAAAUUAUCCAAAAUCGAAUUCCUCGUAAACAUCCAAAAUCGAUACUUAUUCCAAAAGGCUAUCACGAAAGUUAAUGUUUUGAUUCUUUUCCUCAUCUGCCCGAUUUCAAUAAUUUGUCUAUUCAAAUAAAAAGUCAUUUUGGCCCGUCUCUCAACUUAGCUUUCGAUUGAUUAAUGACUUUUUGCUUUUUUUUUGGUUCUUGAAAGUUGGUAUUAUUGUCAUGUGCAAUAGCAUAGGAAGCGCCAAACGUUGAAUUUAAUUUUAAAUAUUAGUGACAAUUAUCUGUCAGUGAUUAAUUAAUAUGAUAUUUGUUGAUUUUAUUCUUGUACUUAAUUUAUUUUUCUCUGGUUGUUAUUUAUUUAUUUAUUUUUGUCUGUUUGAUUCUUUUCGAUUGGACAAUCAUUUAUGCAAUAAAAAUUAUUGCCAAGAUAAUAUAGUAUAUUUUUAUUUCAGAAAGUUUGGCUGACAGUGUGACAAAACCCAAAUUGUAUCCAAUUUCAUAUGCUUGUCCCCACUCUCUCCAAUAGUCUAACACGUGAAUUGAGUACAAAUUGCUAUUUCGGCCAAUCACACAUCUUUUUCUUUGAAUUUAUGGCCACAAGCACUCGAGUGGACUGAUCUAAUAAUUUGAUGCUUUUCUACCGUUGACUAAUCUCCCUUUAUUUCGAUUUACUAAAAAUAUAAUUUUUUUAUAUUACAAUUAAUUUCUUAAUUUUUUAAUAUAUUUCUAUAAAUAUGUUUUGUUAUUAAUGAAUAUUAAAUUUUCUUAUUUAAGAAAUUAUUUAAUGUAGGUGUAUAUUAGAAAAAAAAAAUGUAAAAUAAGUUUAUAUUUUCAAAUAUAUUAGUUAUAUUUUACACGUAAUAUUGCUACCCUUAUCGUGUAUAAUUUAAAAUAUUGUCUUGUGUUGUGUACAAAUCAUGUGUUUAAGAAUAUGCGAUGGAAUUUCAGUGUCGUUUUUAUCUAAUUUAUAGUCUUUGGUGAUCUACUAUUUAAUCUGUCUUGCAGGUGUAUUGCUAGGAUAUGUCGCAAAUUAUGCAUUUUCUAAGCUUCCACUAAACUUGGGGUGGCGAUUUAUGCUUGGUGUUGGUGCACUUCCAUCAGUUUUUCUAGCUAUAGGUGUCCUAGCCAUGCCCGAGUCACCCCGAUGGCUAAUCAUGCAAGGUCGUUUAGGUGAUGCAAAAAAAGUCUUAGACAAAACAUCGGACUCAUUAGAAGAGUCACAAAUGAGACUAGUUGAUAUUAAAGAGGCGGCAGGAUUGCCAUUAGAUUGCGAUGAUGAUGUAGUUUCUGUCCCUAGACGAAGUCAUGGUGAAGACGUGUGGAAGGAGUUAUUUCUUCACCCUUCACCUACUGUCCAACACAUUUUAUUGGUGGGCAUUGGCAUACACUUCUUUCAACAAGCAAGUGGCAUAGAUUCUGUUGUGUUAUAUAGUCCCAAGAUUUUUGAAAAAGCCGGUAUUAAGAAUGACGAUGAGAAGCUACUUGUUACUAUAGCCGUUGGAGUCUCAAAGACAAUCUUUAUCCUGGUGACUACAUUUUUGGUUGACAAGAUUGGACGGCGAGUCCUACUCCUCUCAAGUUGUGGUGGUAUGAUAAUCUCUCUCUUGGGACUAGCAAUUGGAUUAACCGUAAUCGAUCAGUCUAACAAUCAAAAAGUAACGUGGGCCAUCGCCUUGUGUGUCCUCAUGACAUUAUCGUGUGUAGCAUUUUUCUCGAUGGGGAUGGGCCCAAUUGCGUGGGUCUAUAGCUCCGAGAUUUUCCCGUUGAGGCUAAGGGCCCAAGGGUGUGGUCUGGGAGUCGCAAUGAAUAGAUUCAUGAGCGGAGUGCUGCUAAUGUCAUUUAUAUCCCUAUACAAGAGCAUUACAAUUGGAGGGGCUUUCUUUCUGUUCGCAGGGAUUGCAAUUGUGGCUUGGAUUUUCUUCUACACAUUGUUGCCUGAGACACAAGGGAGAACCCUUGAGGAUAUGGAGGUGCUUUUCGGUACUUUCUUUAGGUGGAGAUCAACCAGUAGAGAAUUAAAGAAGAAGAAACUAGAGGGCAAUUCUGAUGGACCUCAGUAGCCAGCCUAGCCCUGGAGGGUAAUUUCCUACAUGGACCGUUUGGUCUGCAAGAUUAGACCGUAGUAUUCAGCAUCAUUAAAAAAUAAAUAAAUAAAAAUAUUAACGGUUGUGCUAUGCUCUAAUUUCUAAUAGAGAGCUUUGUGAUAUUUAUGGAAAUUUGGACGAAUGUGAUAAAAUACUAUUUCUUAUGCAAUUUGUUUUAUAUUUGAUAAUAUAUAUGCACACUGUUGAUUAUACGCUUAUCACAUUUUUAGUUUAAAAUUCUCUUUAAUUUUGUGAAUA